UCAAGUAAAGGAAGAGCACAAGGUGAAUGCCUUGGCUGCAUAAGGCGAUGAAGGACGUAAUAACCUGCGAUAAGCCUCGGGGAGCUGGUAAAUAAGCUUCGAUCCGAGGAUUUCCGAAUGGGAAAACCCAAUAUACGUAAGUAUAUUAUCUUAUACUGAAUACAUAGGUAUAAGAGGCGAACCUGGGGAACUGAAACAUCUAAGUACCCAGAGGAAAAGAAAUCAACAGAGAUUCCGGUAGUAGCGGCGAGCGAAACCGGACCAGCCCUUAAGCUUAUUUUAGUCCAGCAAAAUAUUCUGGAAAGUUUGACCAUAGUGGGUGAUAGUCCCGUAUGCGAAAGACUAAUUUAAGUGAAAUCGAGUAGGUCGGAACACGUGAAAUUCUGACUGAAUAUGGGGGGACCAUCCUCCAAGGCUAAAUACUCUAUGCAGACCGAUAGUGAACCAGUACCGUGAGGGAAAGGCGAAAAGAACCCCGGCGAGGGGAGUGAAAUAGAACCUGAAACCUUGUGCUUACAAGCAGUCGGAGCAGACUUGUUCUGUGACGGCGUACCUUUUGUAUAAUGGGUCAACGACUUAAUUUCAGUAGCAAGCUUAACCAUAUAGGGUAGGCGUAGGGAAACCGAGUCUUAAUAGGGCGCUCAGUUGCUGGAAUUAGACCCGAAACCGGGUGAUCUAUCCAUGGCCAGUGUGAAGGUCGAGUAACAUCGACUGGAGGCGCGAACCCACUUAUGUUGAAAAAUGAGGGGAUGAGCUGUGGAUAGGAGUGAAAGGCUAAUCAAACCCGGAGAUAGCUGGUUCUCUUCGAAAACUAUUUAGGUAGUGCCUCGUGUAUUACUGUAGGGGGUAGAGCACUGUUUCGGCUAGGGGGUCAUCCCGACUUACCAAACCGAUGCAAACUCCGAAUACCUACAAGUAUGAGCACGGGAGACAGACUGCGGGUGCUAACGUCCGUAGUGGAAAGGGAAACAACCCAGACCGUCAGCUAAGGUCCCAAAUUAUGAUUAAGUGGGAAACAAUGUGGGAAGGCACAAACAGCUAGGAAGUUGGCUUAGAAGCAGCCAUCUUUUAAAGAAAGCGUAAUAGCUCACUAGUCGAGUCGGCCUGCGUGGAAGAUAUAACGGGGCUAAAUCAUAAACCGAAGCUACAGAUCUUAAAUUUAUUUAAGAUGGUAGAAGAGCGUUCUGUAAGCGGAUGAAGGUGAGCUGAGAGGCGAGCUGGACGUAUCAGAAGUGCGAAUGUUGACAUGAGUAACGAUCAAAGAGGUGAAAAACCUCUUCGCCGAAAAACCAAGGGUUCCUGUCCAACGCUAAUCGUGGCAGGGUGAGGCGGCCCCUAAGGCGAGGGCGAAAGCCGUAGUCGAUGGGAAACAGGUUAAUAUUCCUGUACUUUUUAUAACUGCGAUGGGGUGACGGAGAAGGUUAGGCUAGCACGGCGACGGUUGUCCGUGUUCAAGGUUGUAGGCUGGUGUUCUAGGUAAAUCCGGAACGCCAUAUAGGCUGAGGACUGAUAACGACCACUCUACGAGUGGGAAGUAGCUGAUACCAUGCUUCCAGGAAAAACCUCUAAGCUUCAGGUUAUAAGAAACCGUACCCUAAACCGACACAGGUGGUUAGGUCGAGUAGACCAAGGUGUUUGAGAGAACUAUGGUGAAGGAACUAGGCAAAAUAGCACCGUAACUUCGGGAGAAGGUGCGCUACGUUUGGUGAUAGGACUUGCUCCUUGAGCUAAACGUAGUCGAAGAUACCAGGUGGCUGCGACUGUUUACUAAAAACAUAGCACUCUGCAAACUCGUAAGAGGAAGUAUAGGGUGUGACGCCUGCCCGGUGCCGGAAGGUUAAUUGAUGGGGUUAGCGUAAGCGAAGCUCUUGAUCGAAGCCCCGGUAAACGGCGGCCGUAACUAUAACGGUCCUAAGGUAGCGAAAUUCCUUGUCGGGUAAGUUCCGACCUGCACGAAUGGCGUAACGAUGGCCACACUGUCUCCACCC
rnacentral:rRNA from 1 species